CCCCUAUUGUUAGUUGCCAUCAUUCAGUUGGGCACUCUAGCGAGACUGCCGGUAAUAAACCGGAGGAAGGUGGGGAUGACGUCAAAUCAUCAUGCCCCUUAUGACCUGGGCUACACACGUGCUACAAUGGUUGGUACAACGAGUUGCGAGUCGGUGACGGCGAGCUAAUCUCUUAAAGCCAAUCUCAGUUCGGAUUGUAGGCUGCAACUCGCCUACAUGAAGUCGGAAUCGCUAGUAAUCGCGGAUCAGCAUGCCGCGGUGAAUACGUUCCCGGGCCUU
rnacentral:rRNA from 1 species